rnacentral:rRNA from 1 species
AACGAACGCUGGCGGCAGGCUUAACACAUGCAAGUCGAACGCCCUAGCAAUAGGGAGUGGCGCACGGGUGAGUAACGCGUGGGAAUAUACUGUGUAGUGGGGAAUAACGUUGGGAAACUAACGCUAAUACCGCAUACGCCCGACAGGGGAAAGAUUUAUCGCUAUACAAUUAGCCCGCGUGAGAUUAGGUAGUUGGUGGGGUAAUGGCCUACCAAGCCGACGAUCUCUAGCUGGUCUGAGAGGAUGAUCAGCCACACUGGAACUGAGACACGGUCCAGACUCCUACGGGAGGCAGCAGUGGGGAAUAUUGGACAAUGGGCGAAAGCCUGAUCCAGCCAUGCCGCGUGAGUGAUGAAGGCCUUAGGGUUGUAAAGCUCUUUCGCCGAUGAAGAUAAUGACGGUAGUCGGAGAAGAAGCCCCGGCUAACUUCGUGCCAGCCGCCGCCGUAA